AUUCCUAAUUAAUCGCUAAUUAAGGCUGCUGUUUGUGGAUUAUAGCGCGGGAUUAAGGUUAAAGCUCGUUUUUCUUUUGUUUUUUAUUUUUUUUUUGUGGGAGAUGGGGGGUGAGAGGUGGUGCCACGUUUGCUUCCGAGGUUUGGAUGUCGCCACGUGGAGAAGCCGUGCAUGACGAGUGGUAGCUGGGAAAGGAUUUCUGACACGCGUCGGGAUGACAGCUGUGUUUGGAUUCUGACACCCUGGCAUCAGGGGUAGGGAACCGUGCUGCAAUUCAAAUUCUUUUUUGUUUGUUGGAGUCAAAAUUGAAUAAUAGAUUUAAAUUAUUUAAUUAUGUCAUACAUAACCUAAUGAAAUUAGGAUUUCUGGAGAAUAACCUGAAAAAUAAAACUAAAAAGAGUGUACUAUUAUUGUCUAUAUAUCACAUUUCGUUAAAAAAUACAUGAUUUUUUAUAUAUUAUCGCGGACAAGUUUUUAUGAGCAUGAUUCCAGAUAUGUGAUGGAGUAUUUCUGGCAAAUUUGAAGUAUGUUUGUGACUCAAUGAAUCAACUUAAUCUAAAUCAUUCUUUAUAAGUUUGAAAUAGGUUUGAGGAAAGAUUUUUCUUACGAAAUUAAGAUCUUUUUAAGGAAAAAUUUGAAAGCACACUACGCGACAUUAAUAUGCUUUCGAUACUUACUGAGUUCAUUCUAAUAUAUCAUAGUUCGACAAGUGCCACACUUUUUUAUGUGAUGCCAAACCUUUUCGGAAAAAAUAAUUAUAUUGACUUAUCAAAACAUACAUUUAAACUUACAAGUAUGUUUGUCUUUACCAACACACACACACAUAUAUAUAUAUAUAAUUAUAAAAAUAUAAUUGGAAAAAUAAUUAACAUUGAUCUUGGUGGACACCUAAUAUAAAAUUAGAAUAAAAUUAUAGAAAAUGAAACUAAACCAAGAGAAUUACACUCAAAUUUUAAUAACCAUUUUUCGAUGAAUAAAUUUAUACUUUCAUUAUAUUAUAGAAUGAUCCAUUCUUUAAAUAUGGUGUUUAAGGCUUAAUUAAACUGAAGCACAAAAAAGCCACGUGGAAGCAAUGCAAAGGAAAGUAGGGCCCAAUAGAAAACUGGACUUUGUACAAAGACUUUUCUCAGUUCAGGCUCGGGGUUUCGAUCCACGUGGAAGCAAUGCAAGGUACUCAAUUGGCGUGAUAAAGUGGUUCAAGUGGGUCCGGCCACGUGUCAAAAAAGAAAAGAUGCGGCUUGGGUGCGGUUUCGCGCCGCUGUUUUGGUCUCUGGUUGCAGACACGUGGCGGAUCCACGAAGCACCUGUGCUGCUGUCAAUGGAUCGAUAUAUAUAAGAGUGGUAGCUACCCGACGACGCCCAGUGAGCUCAAUCCAGUGGGUGGUUUUUGGAUAUUUUCUCUCGUGUGAUGAACUUGGAAUUUCGAAAAAUCGUUCUAUUUCGAUAACAAUUAACCGCAAAGGUACAUUAUAGACAAGGUGCUUAAAAUUACGAUCUGAAUCACGAGCUAAACUCUCUAAACUUCAGAAAACAGGGGUCGGUUAUGGUGGUUCCUCACGUGUUGAAUUCGGUUCAUUCUACAUCGUGAGUUAAAAUUUAUUAACAAACAAGGUAGAAAAUGUGCAUUUAUGUUGAAUUCGGUUAAUUCCCUUGUAUGAUGAACUCGGAAUUUCGAAAGAUAGCUCUAUUUCGAUAAUACUUGAGAGCAUAGAAGCACACAUUGUGGGCGAGGUGUGCAAAAUUACGAUCGGGAUGACAAUCUAAACUCUCUAACCUACUAGAAACACUCAUAUUGUCGAGACAUGUGCAUCCUUCGUUAUGUUCAUUAGUAUCGUAUCGCGGGGGAAUUACUGUUAUGUUCAUAGCUAUAAUAUCGAGGGGGCAUUAGUUUUCCACCGAGUAGCAGCUUCGUCAUAGGGUUGCGAUACUUGGUUUGGUUAGACCGACAUGCUAUGCAAUCAAAAAUUCGGUGUUUGUUUGUUCGAUCAACGGAGAUUUUGAGUAAACCGAAGAUCUCAAAUGUUCAGCCAUACCUAUCAACUAGGCUAACCAUAAUGUACAUUGUCAUAUAUAUUUUUUGAAAAGAAAACAUUACAAAAGAAGUUCAUCAUCCUCCCAAAAUUAUCAGAUGAUCAGAUUCUUUGAAAAUUCUAAACAGGCAUCCUCAUCACAAGCUGCCCUGCCAUGAAACUGCCACCACACAACAUGAACACAGAGGAAGUUACGAAACAGCAAACAAUCUUUCGAAUCUUCAUCAAUGGAGUUGUUAGGUUUGCUUACCCCUUCACGUAAUAGUAGCAGAAAUCAGCCAAGAUGAACGUCUGGACCAUCUCCGCCAGGAACGCCACCGGGAACCAGAAGUACCCGCUCCCCGUUAUAUAUAGGUACGCUCCACGGGUCUCGAUCACCUGCGCCAAUAAUCACAAAAAAUAAGUCGACCAUCAACAUUGCACAACACAUUGUACAGUUUGCAACUUGCAAGAAUAGAGCUUUAUACAUACCCGGAUGAUCCAAUGUGCACAGGACAGGAAUCUCGCCACCCCCAGCGCGAAUACAUAAUGAGACGUGAAAGGCUCGAUCAUCUGGUAACGAUAUAAGCAGAAUUUCAGAUGUUCGAAUCGAGAAAGUUAGCUACAAGGGAACAAACGAAAAUGCAGUAUGUAUAUAUAUAUAUAUAUACCUUGGCAUUCUGCAUCAUUCGCAACUGUGGUAGGACAGAGACAGCUUCGAGGUAGGCGCAGAACGCCCAGAGGAAUUCGCUGAAGAAGCCGUACAAAGUAUGUGGCUUGACAAUGAAUGCAAGGGCAAGACAAGGGACAACCUGCAUUGCGCGAAAUUCGAUACAAUAAGUCUAACCUAAACCGAUUCGAAGUGAAAUUAACUAGGAUGUGUGUGUGUUUGGUAAUGUUGAUCAUAUACAUACCAGAUAGAUGACGUUCAAGUUGUCGAGCUCCUUGACGUAGGAGGACUUCAACUUGAACCUCAUCAUGUAGAUAACCCAAAGGGUCGAAGCGAGGGUGGCGAAAUCAAGCAUGGUGUGGAUGUCUGCCUCCAUGAACACGCUGCAACACAGCCUCACUGCUAGGAACAAUGCUGUCAGCUCCUGACUCCUCAGUGAAAGCCCUGUACAUUCAUAACACAAAAAAGUACUCAUGAACCCUGUUUCCGACCACGAAAUUAAAGCUUUCGGAAACGCAUGCAAUAGCGAAACCAGGAUCGUUCCGAGCGCUCAGGAACCUGAGCACGACAUAAACUUCAACACUUAAAUGAAAGUUCUGUAUUCAUAACACACCAACAUAGUAAUUGAGGUAUGAGUGCACAUAUAUGCAUGCUUAGGGGCUCGCUUGGUACAGGGGAAUUACGAGACAGAGAAUGUAUAUAUGUACUCUCAGCAUCAUUUCUUCACAGACAAACAGAACAUAUCAAUUCUCAAUCUCAGACUACAGAUUAACCACUAACUCACUUCAUACCAAACAACUCCUUAAGUAAUUUCCAGUGAGACACUAAAACCUGAUUAAACAAACCCUUUUCGAACAAUUUCGAUUGGUAAAUUUGACCCAUUGCCAGUACGAUUUCGAGCAAUUUCGAUGAGGAAUUUGACCCAUCAGAGUCAACCCCCUUUCAGACAAAGACAGAUUCUUUCGCCAUGUCGGUCAACAGAAGUCAACAAAACCCAUACAAUUCUGAACAAAAAAUAUAUGAACGGCGCCGGAGAAUACAAAUAUAUUUACCGGAGCAGGUUUUCUUGGUGAUGAGCUUGUAAGCAAGAACGAUGAUCCCGGCGGCGUGAAUGGCCUCGGAUGCGAUGAAGAAAUGGUUAUGAUUCCUAACACAGAGCUUCAUCGCCACAAGCGUCAAAACCGCAAUCGCCACCGCCAUAAUCACCUUCACCCUCGUCGACUGCCGGCUGAUCCACCCGACCACCGCCUUCACCGCCGGCGGCGACGAUCCUCCGCCCCCCAUAGCGUUCCUCUUCGAACCCAUUGGUGAAAUUCCUCUCUACCCAAUUCGAAUCUGAUCGGGAUACGUUAGAAAACUGAAAGGAGGAGAGAUGAAAAUCCCUAUUUGUCUGUGUUGGGUUUAUAUGUGUAGAGCGGAGGAGGUGAGAAGAGGGGGAGAAACAGAGGGAACCAGAAAAAAUAAAAAAGGAAGAAAAGAGAAAAAAAGGAGAUGGGUGAAACUCUUAUGGGAAUAAAAUUUGGAUUGAUAUUGUAAAGAGUUUUUAGGGAGCGUUACGUGGACGGCCGGGUUAGCCCUUUGUCUGACGCCAUUGCCGAUCUCUGUCCACGCUGGUGUUGAGCUCUGUUUAGUUUUUCUGCCGUGGCGCUCAUCCUAUUGUAUUUGUUUGCUGACUUGGCGUCCUACUAUUGGUUUGAGUAUGUCAUCAAUUUUAUUUUUAAACGUAUGUUUUUUCUUUUUAAUCAUCUAAAUAGGGCCUUGGCAAAAAUGUACAUAAAAAGGUAAUUUCAUAGCCUAUUACAAAUAAAAUUCACCUAUUAUAAACAAAAAUCUUUUAUAAAUUUUAUGGACUAAUCCUGUCACUAGUACUAAUGUAAAAGAGUUAAAUUAGUAUAUUUAAUAAUAAUUUUUUAUAUGAUUAAUAGUUAAUAAUUUUAACCAUAAUUAUUUUAUUUAUCCUAUUCAUAUAUUAAAUAAGAUUAAUUCAUAUAUAUGGAUGACACUUUGGUACUUACAAGUAUNNNNNNNNNNNNNNNNNNNNNNNNNNNNNNNNNNNNNNNNNNNNNNNNNNNNNNNNNNNNNNNNNNNNNNNNNNNNNNNNNNNNNNNNNNNNNNNNNNNNNNNNNNNNNNNNNNNNNNNNNNNNNNNNNNNNNNNNNNNNNNNNNNNNNNNNNNNNNNNNNNNNNNNNNNNNNNNNNNNNNNNNNNNNNNNNNNNNNNNNNNNNNNNNNNNNNNNNNNNNNNNNNNNNNNNNNNNNNNNNNNNNNNNNNNNNNNNNNNNNNNNNNNNNNNNNNNNNNNNNNNNNNNNNNNNNNNNNNNNNNNNNNNNNNNNNNNNNNNNNNNNNNNNNNNNNNNNNNNNNNNNNNNNNNNNNNNNNNNNNNNNNNNNNNNNNNNNNNNNNNNNNNNNNNNNNNNNNNNNNNNNNNNAAUUGGCCAAUUUUAACAUGAAAAUUGAAAAUUUUCAAAUUGGCUAAUAUUUAACAUACAUGUUGGGAAUGGCUAAAAAUUGAGAUUUCAUCAUAUUAAGCCUUUCAAUAAUAGUCAAAUAAAGUUAAAAAAAACAUUUUCUUAAGGGUUUUUAUUAUUGUUGUUAGCAGAGAUGUAUAUGUUUUUAUUACAAAAAUUUUAGUUUUAAUAUCUAAUUAUUUACCACCACCAUAUGUUAUUAGAUACGAAUUUUAAAUCUCAUUGGCCAAUUUUUUUGAUUCCGCCAAUAUUUGAAAUAGUAACACUUACGAACGGCCCGAUUCCUUCAUCUUCUAACAAAGAUCACCUUACAUAAAGGAUGAUAAGAAAAGAACAAAUGACACAUACGAACAAGGCAACAUUUCUCUGUCAUAUCACCUGACAAGCCAUGAGAUUGCUCGUUUUAAAGAUGAUUCAAUUAUAACUUCGUGACUUACCCGGCCAUCAAAUAUUGAUUACAUUGAUCGAUAAGUUCAUUUAGUUAUAGUUGGAAACUUAUCGAUCAAUGUUUGAUGGGUCUGGUCGCCAUGUCAAAGUACUUAAGCCCACGAAAGUAUUGGACUAUUUUGCAUUGAAAGGUAUCGGCAGAAGUUACCCAUAAUCUACAAAACUUAAACCGCCCGAUACGUGAUCUGCCUAGGCCCAGUGAAGGGCCAUCGGCAACUCGUAGGUGCAUAGGCUCAAGUCCAUAUUGUAGGAUCAAUCUCAGCCAUUCAUCAUUAAAAAUUUGCAUCGAAUGUUAAUCAAAUCAUUAAUCAGCCGUCCACACGUAUCAACCCAAUUUUUUAGAGACUAUGUAAACAAAGGGAUAUCUUCAUUAAAGGUAGUCACUAUGCACUUGCCUAAUGCACUUAAAGUUCACCGCGCUUUACGAAGGAAUCGCUUUAGAAGAUUUGGAAGUCCCUCGAUGUUACGUGCCUAAUUGAAUAUCGCAUCGUUAAGUAUGGAAUUAGCGAGUGAGUUUAUAACCUCUUGGGCCCCCUCUUAGGCAUCGUUGUAACGCCUAAUUUUGUUUACAAAGAUCAUGAGUUCACAACCCAAUAUGCGCAAUUAUUUUGACUCUUUUAUGAUGAUGGUAUUACUGAUCUCACCUUGACUAACGACUAACGAUUCUUAACGGUAACAUGAAUAAAUGUGAUACCGUCAAAGAACUCUAGAUGGCAUCCCAAUAAUUGUUCCGUUUCCGUAGUUGAAUUUUGCAUGCGCCGUCGUCUCUACGUAGUCAAUAUCGUCGGGCGUAGCCGCUUAGAUUAAUUUAUUCAAACUUGUCAACCAGUAUUUCUCCCCCGUCUUUGUCAAGUGCAUGAAUUAUCAAUUUGGAACAUUUCAGAGUCUUGCACGUCUCUACGUGGCAAUAACUGAUUGGUACACAUUUAUAAAUAAUAUAUCAAUAUGUCCAUUUAAUUUCCUCGUGUCAAAUCAAAUAAAUGGAAUUUAGAACAGAAAAAUUACAGUAAUGGAAUAAGGGGGUGGAUAGAAAUGAAUGUAGACUUCGACAUGAGAGGUCCAUAAUUGUUCUUGGGAAGAAUUAUUCAAUUUUGAGUUCAACCCUAGUCCCACCUAACGUUCCGGUGGGGUCAUUGGUAACGUUUGAAAUAAAAAUUUGUGAUGAUGAUACUUUUGAUGACAUUUAUAACGAAAAUGAAGAGUUUCAAGAAAAGGAUGAAGAGUUCUUGCAAAACAAGUAACAACAAGAUAUAAGAUGAAUUUGUCAAUGAAUAAGACCUUUUCAAAUCACUCGAUUUGUGAGAUUUAGUAAUUAUAAAUUCUUGUUUAAUUAUGUAUUUUAUUGGGAUAAUAGUAUUUUUACUCCUUUUAUUUUAUCAAGUUAAUAAUAAGGCCAUUCUAUUAUUAAAUAUAAUUUUUACCUGUUUUACUUUACUAAUUUGUUAAGUGUCUCCUUUUAUUACUUCAUCAGUUAUUUUGUCGUUAUUUUUCGCCUAAUCAGGAUUGCCACAUCAUUCAGAAUGACAGGUGGCUUUUUAGUAUGAUAAUUAUAUCUUGUUUAAUUUUAUUUCUUACAAUAAUUUUUAGUGGGCAAGAUUUACACGAAUAACCAUCUUUCUCCUUCAUCUCCGGACAAUUCAUCUUUCUGCUUAAAUUGUAAUCGCAACCCCAACCUCUUAGCCCAAGACCGAGGAAGCGACAAGGCUAGAAAGCUGAUUUCAAAGUAAAAUGAAGCCGGAGGCAUGUGGGAGGUGAAACACAUAAGGUGAGAAUGAGAUGCAUGAGGGGAGAGAAUAGUACCUAAUCUGAUAAGGUAACUUUACAUUAGGGUUAAAAUAGUAAUGGUCCCAAAAAUAAAUUUUUGAUUAAAAAUUAACAAGAUUAAUUAUCACACUCAUUAGCCACGUGUCAUCAAUAUGAUGUGGCAAUGCUGAUUAGGCGAGAUAUAACGACAAGACCACGAAUGAAGUAACGAAAAGAGACGUUUAACAAGUUGGUAAAAUAAAAAAAAGCAAAAACAGCUUUUAAUAAUAAAGAAGCCUCUUUGUUAAGUUGUUAAAGUAAAAGGUAGAAAUAAUAUAAUUCCCUAUUAUAUUACAUAAAAAAAUGUCACAAUUUUACAUUACAUUGGUUCUUUUAUUCAAUACAUUAAAAUAUAUUAAAUUAAUAACGGCGAAAAAGAGCACAAAGGAUAAAAAUAAUAAUGAGAAUAACUUGUUAUAUAUAGCUGAGAUAUAGAAAAAAAUACAAAGGAAUUAACAUGUGUACUUUUUUAUUUUUUACCCUAACAGUACUCAUACUAUUCUUCCCGCCUCAUUUUCAGUAUUCCAACGUGCGUAAAUAUAGACCACAAAUUAAUUAUUAAUUAUUACUGAAGUAAUAAAGUAAUUAAAAAAAUAAUUAAUUAAUAUAGAGCUCAGGCGAAAGUCGUGGCCUAAGCACAACUUCCAACGGCUUCUCCUUAGCCAACGUCGUACUAUCCGCCUCCGUCAUGUCCACCGGCAAGUCAAACGGUGUCCCGAAGUCAAACGCCUGCAACAGCCUCGCCGCCGUCAACUGCACAACUUCCAUCCCGAAGUUCAUCCCGGGGCACGACCUCCUUCCGGUCCCAAACGGCAAGUACUCGAAGUCCCUCCCGUAUAUGUCCACCUUCACCUCCUUGUCGUGGAACCUCUCGGGCCGGAACUCGUUGGGCUCCGGGAACAUCUCCGGGUUCCUGUGGAGCUUCCAGAAGUUCGCGAAGAACCUCGUGCCUUUAGGCACGUGAUAACCGCGAAUGGUGAUGUCCUCAGAAGCCACACGCGGGACCGAGAUGGGUCCCGCAGGAUUCAUUCUGAGGGUCUCGCGAAUCACCGCAUGGAGGUAGGUGAGGUUCUCAAGGUCGGAGUCCUGCACGAUUCUGUCUUUCCCGACUUUUGUGUCGAUUUCUUGCUGGAGGAGAGUUAGGGCUCGGCGGUUGUUGAGGAGGUUUGAUAGCAUCCAUGUUAAGGUUACGGAUGUUGUGUCAGCUGCAGCGAUGAUCACAGCCUGAUGUAAAAAUGAACGAGUUAGAGAAUGGUAUAAAUUCCAUUAUUACCAUUAAAUUGAAUUGUAAUUUAGAAAAAUUACCAUAGCAGUUGACUUGAUGAUGGUUUCCUUGUCGUGUUGACCGGUGGGGUCAAAGUUGUCAUCAAUAACAGAGAGCAUGACAUCAAUGAAAUCUUCAGCAACCCAAUUGUCACCCAAUUUACUCCUCUUCACUUUAUGUUCUUCAAUCCAACCAUCAAUGAUGACAUCCAACUCCUUGGAGAUCCUCUUCAUGGACUUCUUCAUCCCCUUGAUGUCGAUCCACCCUAGACUCGGGAUCAAAUCCGACAACACGAGCGAGCCAUUCACGUCCAUGAACUCCCUAAUGAGCUCCCCGACUGGCCUUCCCCCCACGUCAGCGGUCCCAAUGCUGUCUGCCAAGUUCUCGAAGUACUUCCUCCCCGCGACCAUCCUCGUGAUGAUGUUCAACACGAAGUUCUGCAGCCAAUCGCUGAUCACCACCUGACCACGACUGUCGGACCCCACAAGGCACUGGGAGUUCAGGUCCUUGAUCAGCACGUCCACCUCCGAGACCUGGACGUGCCUCAUGGCUCUAAUCCUGGGCAAGGACAGGAUCUCGGUUAUGACGAGCUUCUUGACAUUGCGCUAGUAGUCUCCGUAGGAGGCGAACCCGAAGACCGCAAAGUUCUUGCCCAGGAUCUUGCCCUGGGUGGAGGGAGGGCGAGCAGCCAGUGCUUUGUCGUUUUUCACAAAGCAGUCUUUCAUAGACUCCUCAUCACUCACAAUCACGGUCGGAUAGGAACCCAGCCGGAUUGUGAACAUGGGGCCGUGUUUGUCAGCAAAGGCACCCAACUUCCUCGCUAGCGUGUCUUUGCCUCCGAGGAGGUGGAGGUGGCCUACGAAGGGCAAAGCGCCUGGGAUUUCAGGUAUUUGCGGGAGCUUCUCUUUCUGGGUUCGAGUCGAGACAAGGGUUCGGAGGAAGUGAAGGAAGAGGAAUCCUGAGAGUAUGAAGAGUAUUGAAGCAAGAUCCAUAUUGGCUUCGAUUUUUCUUUGGAGGUUUUGUUUGUGGUUGUGAGAGAGAUGAAGAUAAGAGGGCAUGUUAUGGGUUUAUAUAGUGAAGGAGAAGAACCUAAGUUCCAAAACAUUCAAUGGCUCCCAUUGGUCAAAACUCAAGAUAAGGAAAUUAAAAUAAUUGUUUAAUAAUUAUUAUUGGAUUUCUUGGGUAGCUUCUUAUUUGCCGUUUUAUUCAUUAUUAUAAUUUAUAAUCGUUGAUUAGUUGCAUGGUGAGAUAUGGACGCCAAGUUUUACUAUAUGGGCCACGACGUACCAUGUUGGGCUGCUAGUGCUAUUCUAGGAUCCAUGGUAAAGAUCACAAGUUAGGAGUAUUUUUUUUAAUAAAGUGUGUAUAUUAUAAAAGAAAAUUAUAUCAAAAAUAGGAAAAUGAAAUUCAUUCAAACAAAAGGAAAAAUAAAUAUCCAACUUACAACAACUAAACUAAAAUAAAAACCCAUUAUCUAAACAAAACAAAGUCGACCUCAAACAUCAGAUUAAAGUAGUGGACACCAAACAUUCCACUGACACCCAACCUAUAAAAAACCAAAAUCAGCCUGGAUCAAUGUAUAUUUGAUUUCACAUUCUCAACUUCUCAUCCGUAAACACACCUGCAGAUAGUAACCACCUGUCAACAUUGAAUCUAACUUUACGGGAAAACUGUAUAAUACUUUUAGCAGUGUUUCUGAAGAUUCUGUCAUUUCUCUCAAUCCGUAAGUAUCGAAAGAUUGCAUGCAUCGUAACCAUCUUUGCACUAGUAAAUCUCGGAUGACAGUUCAUACCCUUACAAACUGUAAUGAAAGUCCUGACUUUCGAAGACCUCGGCCUAACCACGAAAAAUAUUGAACUAGCCAAAUUCCAUAUUAUCUGUGAGAGCUCGCAAUGCAACAUCUAAUGAUCCACAUACUCGGAACAAUUACAACAUAAGACAUAUCUGUUAGUCAAAUGUAAACCCCUCCGCUAAAGGUGGUUAAUGGUAGAUAUUCACUCAUAUAAUAAAUUUUAUUUAUACUCAGUCAUAUAAUCAAAUGCGCUACUCCAUAUAGAAUUAAAAUAUCCGCGGAAUACAAAUUAUUGAUACAAUUAGUAUUUACUUUUUACCAUUUAUAUUUUAUUUUGUAUUGUACAUAUUUUACUCAACCGAGGAAACCACGGCUUUGCCAAGUUCCAAGUGCCUUUUUUUCAUAUUUAUCCCUAUCACGAGUGAAGCGGUAUGGUUCGAAUUGGGUAAAAUUCGAUUUGGGAAAGCGACAAAACUGCCUUAGUUAUGAAAAAUAUUACUUUGGUCAACGUUCUUCCGUCGUAUUGACUAAACAGAACAAAUAACCUGAAUUUUCUUAAUUGGCAACCGAUUGAGAGAUCAGUUGUCAUGUUUAUAGUGUUGAUGUUGUCCAAUUUUUCUAACUUACAAUUAUCAAAAAUCGUUUUAUUUUAAUAAUUUGAGUUUUUUGAAAAAAAAUUUAAUUGAUAUUUAUAUUAUUUACUAACAUGCUUUCUGAAACAAAAACUCUCAUAAAAAUUGAGGCUUGCAAAACUUUAAAAAGUCAUGUGUAUAGAUUGAGGGCUAUUUGGAUUCAAAACAAAGAUCUCUCGAUUAUCUAAGACUCUAAUACCAUGUCAUGAACCAUUACAUCCCAAUAAUUUAUUUUUAAAAAAAAAAAUUAAUUGAUAUUUAUAUUAUUCAUUAACAUAAAUCAUAACAAAUGAGCCGUCACAUUUGAUGAAGGGUUAGGGUCGGACAAAUCCUCGAAAUCGAAUCGCCGUGACCGUUGUGUUUCGGCUAUCGGGUUUGGGUCUUAACCAAUGGUUAAAUGAAGAAAAAACGAACGACGACAUAAACUCUACCAUGGUAACUCAAAAAUCGGUUGCCAUUCAGGAAUAGAGUUUACGAUAUUUUUUCCCCGUCUAGUCAACACGAAAAUUAAAGAAGAAUAUUCAACGAAGAAUAAAUUCUUUUGAAUACGUACGUAGUCAAACAAUCAAUCGGCAAAGCGUAUUAAACCAAUUAAUUAAUAGCAAUUAGCACAUGCAGCUUUACUCCUAAUAUUUAAUUUACAUAUAUCAGAAACAGAGAUACCAGAGUACGUAGCUAGCAGCCCUGCAUGGCGGCUGUCGUAAAACUUGGCGUGCAUGCACUCUUCAGUAACUAAAGAUUAACACAACGAAAAAAAGUAACUAAAGAUUAACGAGGAUUAUUAUAUUAAUUACAAAUUAACAAAAUAACAAACCUCGUUAAGCCAUCCUACAUGGCUACAUUUUCCUUUGCUUCUUUUCCUGACCAAGAAAUCGAAUAAACAAUUAUAUAUUUUAAUAUUUUUUUUGUUAACCAUGAAAACCAUUGAAUAAUUUGGAAGUGAUGUUCUUCUCAUAAAUAUACCUUUUUAUUAGUUAUGCCCUUAUUCGAUUGCCGUAUUGACGGAUGGAGUAAAUGUUUUUGUAAUAUUUUAUUUCAAAAGUUUAGGAUAAUCGACUCAUACAAAUUAUAAUUUAAUUCAAGUAGGUUUCAAAUUCGAAUUAAGUAUUUGACGUAAAACUAUACACUAUUUUAUUAUUAUCAUUUUUGGUCAAUUGAGGUCUUGGACAUCCACUUGACCCUCUUUGCUCCGCCCCUAAACGCAUUAACCAACUAAUAUUCGUCCAUUUACUGAUCCGUGCAUAUGUCUUACAAAGAACCGCCUUAAGAGAUUCGAAGACGCCUUGAAAAAUAAAGAAUGAAAAACAGCGAAACAUGAAAUUAAACACGCAAAGGGAAGUUGCGAGCGUCACGGGUUUACAAUGGUGGAGCAACUGGACUCCCAACUCCCGAUAGAACCUCACAUCGGUGGGCGAGUGGCCCCGAAACCAAUAGUUACAUUGUAGUCAAAUUAAACAACUUUGAAUAAACAAUAAUACACUGAUAACUUGAAAGAUUACAAAGGAAAAGUUCAACAAGUCGGUCCUUCCUUUCCACUUAUUAAUGAACACAAAUCUCCUUUUAUUUUGGAAAAAAAUAAAUUUAAGGUAAACCGUAACAGCCACGUGUCAAGAUUCUAACCCCCUUGAAUUAAGGCGGCGCUUUAAUAAUUAGUCGUAAAGCUGAUGUGGAAGUCUUGGGGUAACGACGACUUCCAACGGAGUCUUCUUAGAAAGCGUGGUGCUAUUCGCCUCCGUCAAAUCCACCGUUUGGUCAAACGGCAUCCUGAAGUCAAACGCCUGAAUCAACCUCGCCGCCGACAACAGCACCACCUGCAUCGCGAAAUGCAUCCCGGGGCACGACCGCCGUCCCGUACCGAACGGCAGGUACUCAAAGCUCCGUCCGUAUAUGUCAGCCGUCACCUGUAAUUAACGGUUUCCGUUAAGUUGGAAUAUUGUGAUUGUGAAACAUUAAACUUAAACUUAACUAUGGACUUUAGGUUUGAAAAUCCUAAAUUCAACUUUGUAGAUGUCAUAGGUUUGAAAUUUUGAAUAAAAUAAACUAUUAACUUUUUUAUGCUACUCUCAGGUUGUUUACGACUUCACGCCGUCUGUAUUUUAACAUAAGCGAAUUAAUAUGCUACAUAUAAACAUACGUGGAAUAAUAAUAAUAAACAAUUAAUAAUGACUAUGUGAAGCGAAACACGAACCGUAUGUAUAUAAUGAUUACCUGCUUCUCAUAGAAUCUCUCAGGGAUGAACUCGUCCGGGUUGGGGAAGACAUUCGGGUUGCGGUGGAGCUUCCACAAGUUCGCUGAAAAACGUGUGCCUUUGGGCACAUAGUACCCUCGAAUAGUGAUGUCCUCUCUGACCACACGGGGCACGGACGUGGGCCCAGCAUAGAGGCGGAGCGUCUCCCUUACGAUCGCCUGGAGGUAGUGGAGGUUGUCUAGAUCCGAAUCCUGUACGAUCCGGUCCCGUCCCACUUUCUCGUCCAUCUCUUUGUGUGCCUUCUCCAACGUGCUCCGCUUGUUGAGAAGGUUGGAGAGGAUCCACGUCAGCGUUCCGGCCGUCGUGUCCGUGGCCGCUAUCACCAAUGUCUAACAAAAUAUUUGGAGAAAAACAGAGUAAUUAAGCAAAUAUAUAUUAAUUUAAAUUAUGUAUGAAGUCAAACAAAAAGGAAGCUCCAUGGAAAUGAAGCUUACUGUUGCGGUAGACUUGACGCUGGUUUCCUUGUCAAACUCUGAAGUAGGAUCGAAGGUGUCAUCGACAACAGAGAGCAUGACAUCGAUGAAAUCCUCGUCGAGAAACUUGUCGGCGCCCAUUUUGAUCCUCUUCGCCUUGUGCUCUUCGAUCCAACCAUUCACAACGACAUCGAAUUCCUUCGAAACCCUCUUCAUGGUCCUGAGUAUCCCAAAACGAUCGAACCACCGAUAAAUGGGGACGAAAUCGGACAACACCAUCGAGCCGUUCAGCGCCAUGUAUUCCCUGAUCAUCUCCCCAACCGGGCGUCCUCCUUCAUCGACCACACCGUCCAUGUCCGAAAGGUCCUCGAAGUACCUCUUCCCUGCUAUCAUCGUCGUGAUGAUGUUGACCGCAAAGUUUUGCAGCCAGUCGCUCAUCACCACCACAUUCGUGUUGUCGUUGCUCGUGUUACAUCGAGUGUACAGGUCUCUAACGAGCUUAUCCACCUCCUUGACCUGGACAUGCCUCAGGGCUUUGAUCCUGGCCAGCGUGAGAAGCUCAGUCAUCAUGAGCUUCUUAACAUUGCGCCAGUACAUCCCGUAGGAUGCAAAUCCAAACACAGAAUAAUUCUUCCCCAGGAUUUUGCCCUGACUAGACUGAGGUCUGGCAGCCAGGGCAACAUCGUUGUCUGUAAAGCACUCCUUCAUGGCCUCGUAGUCGCUAACAAUGACCGUAGGGUGGGACCCCAACCGGAUGGUGUACAUGCUACCGUACUUGUCAGCCAGGGCGCCCAGCUGGCGGCAGAGGACAUCCUUGCCCCGGAGGAGGUGGAGGUGGCCGAUGAUGGGCAACCCACCAGGGAUUUCGGGGAUCUGAGGGCGGUAGACUCUGUUCUUGUUAUCCUUUAGGUGCUUCAGGACGAGGAGGAAGAACAAAACCCCGGAGAGUGCGAAGAGUUGGGAAGAGAGAUCCAUACUAAUGAUAUUGAUCAUGGCUCUUGUAUCGGUCGAUCAAUGUCGCAUCGGCCGAUCUUCUUAAAGUUUAGUGAGAUUGUUGUGUUGGGGUGAUUCGAAAAGGUAGAAAUGGCGGGGUUUAUAAAGAUGCUCCAUGGGUGUACUAUUGACUCCAAAAAAUACGCUAAGGUCAGUUGAAUUUUACAAGGACUUUUAUUUUUGGAAAAAAAGAGACCAAAUGAUUUUAAAUUUUUGUUAAGCCAGUAGUUUACGUCCACAUGCAUUCUCUUUUACGUUAUGGUAAACUAGUAAAAUGACAAUAGCUAUUCAGAAAAGAAAAAGUAAAAUGACAACUGCUACGGGUCGGGUUAUUCACUAACUGAUUGAGUCGAAUUUCAUCAUGCUCAAAUUUAGUUAUUUAUCGUUAAUAGGGAGGUGGUUUUGCACAUUACAAAGCUCGUGACACUGAAAUUCCUAACUAUUCAAAGCGCGUUAUUAGCGGCCCAACCGUGAAGCUUUGUAGGAGUGUUGUUACUCGUAUACUGCUUGGACGUCGCAAUACGCCUCAUCCUUUCAACAGGUCCAGAUAUCCGUGUGGGCACUCUCCUACCAUGUAUAUUAUCAUUUUAUCAAAUUAUAAAAAUGUUCAAUAUUGAAUCAUUGGUCUUGGCAUGUUGACUGCUAAAUAAUGGAGGUUUAUUUAGGGAAAUUAUCCAUUUUAGUUUUUUCAUUUUAACUUGAAAACCUUAAAAUCUUCAACAAAAGAAAGGAUGGCAACUCAAUCUGUAGUUUUGAAUGAUGAACUUAAGGUAGUUCUGUAACUGGUUUGAAAUUCUCCAAAUACUAAUCUUUUUUUUUCCUUUUAUUAAUUUAAAUAUCGUCAGACAUUAUGAUAUCUCAAAUAGUCAAAUUUCCAUUACGUCUCGUAUUCAGACGAAAGAAUAAAUAGUUUCUUAACUCUUCGAGAUCUAGGAUGUGCCGGCUCUCGAUGUCCUUGGUGAUACAUCGCACAAGGAGUAUUUAGGAUUAGAGGCAUGAGGUCAGUCCCAAACAGGGUUAAUACGAGCUCGAGCUGUUAUUACGAACGAACGAGCCGAGCUUAACUAUAGCUCGUCAACCGCCCUAUAGUUACUAUUCUACCAUACCUCCAAGUUUAUGUCGACGUACUCAAUUGAUUUGGUUAAGUUAAUUGGCUUGUUUGUACCGUACGUUCUCCAAUGGCGGCCGCCAAAUUAAACCUUGGUCGUCACGUCAUGAAACAGCGACACGGAUCAGAACAGAACAGAAGGACCAUGAUAGUGAUUGAGCUUUCUCGUCCAUUAAUUAAUUUCGUUAGUCAAUUAAUUAUUCCUUAUAUUUCCACACAUUAAUAAGAAUAAUUGUUUGUCACCUUAUAAUAGUGAGAGACACGGUGCCGUCUCAGCUCGAUGGCAUACUUGUUGUUCGUUAGCUAACUACGUACUAGGUAAAACUUAGAAUUAAAUAUCUUAAAUUAUUGUGGAAAAAAAAAACAAAAUUAGAAUUAAAUGUUGACUUGGUUUCUUAGGUUCCAGUUAUCCAAGUUUGAAUUACAAGUUCGUUUAAAAUUUUUCAUCUUUCCUUUGACACGGGUUGACUUUUUUUCUUAUUUUAAUUAUAAUGGUGUUAUCCAAGUUUGAAUUACAAGUUCGUUUAAAUUUUCUCGAUGAUCUAACGAAAUUCAGAAACACCAAAUACAUUAUAACAUGAUUAAUAUUGAAUGUGAAAUAAGGAAAUCCAAAUACAUUUUCCCGAUAGCCCAAAGGGCUGUUUUACGCUCACACCUUUUACACAUUUGCAUCGAUUUAUGAAUCUGACCCACAAUUAAAAAAAAAUCGGACGGGGCCAUGUAGUUUACAUUGACUUAAUAAGAAAAAUAGCUAUGUUCAAUGGAGCUUAUCUAUCUGUUAAUGUUGGUCUAUUAAUCUAUUGUUUUGGAUUGGACUUAAAAGAAAAAAUAAAUAGUCUUGAGACUUAUGGGAUUUGACAAGUUUUGGUCGUUGCCUUGGAAAAAAAGGUAGUAGCCCAUAGAUUAAGAAAUUGAAAUCUUCCAACAUAGACUAUAAUAACCAUGUUUUAAUUUACGUACAAAUUUCCCUGGGUAAAUUGGUAUUUGAAAUUAUAAAUGGUAAGUAAGGAUGAAGUAUUCAUGACGUACUCUGAAUUCUUAGACGCCAACAUUUACUACCCCUACAAAAUUAUAUUUAAUUCCAACUAUUUACUUUUAUUAAUUUAUCGUAGUACCUGAUGGGCCCACUGGAUUUGGGUCAACGAGCGAUUAGUUAACCGGUUAGUGUUGUGGUGUCAGGGGCUGUACUUGGAAGGACGGAUCAAGGUUCGAUCCCUCGUUACAACGUUGGGAGAGGAGUAAAACUUUAACCUUAAGACCAUCCUCAACUGAAUUAGUCGGCUAAUGGGUUGGAUACCAGAAUUCACACAAAAAAAAUCGUGAAAACUACCAAUUUAAAACUGAUCUAUACCAACCUAACCAAUUACUUGCUCAAGUUUUGUUAAUUGCUUUACCGACCCUCUACAUGGGCCAGUCCGGCAUAGAGAUAUGGGCCUUGUCACAUACAGGUGGAAUGGUAACUGUUUUAGUCCAACUUACAACCAUUGAGCCUGUUAACUUGCAUUUACUAACUCACUUCCCAACAACUUCAUUGGACCUGUUAACAGUCUACUUAAACUAUGAAGUAAUGGGCUCGUUGCUGUCGAACAAGCUUUGCUUCUGCAGUCAAUGGGCUCAACCAGGCCCAGUCCUUCUGGACUACAGAUGAAUUCCAACAAGGCCCACCUAUUUAUGAGCCGGUCGGCUUACCGUAAGGGUAUAUACAUAGUCGAACGAUAGGUUAGGGAUAGCUGGUUCUGUUGGUUACUCACCUUUUCCCUUAAUCAUAAGGUCGGUAAUUUGAACCUUGUCCAUGGGAAUAGAAUAUACUUUGAAGUCAGUCAUUUACCGCUUUAUGCAAGCACCCCCAACAAAGAAAACGAUUAUAUCGCUUUGUGCAAUCAUAUACUACAUCUAAAUACUCUAUCGAUCCUCUUCUAAUCGUCUUCUUGUGGUCAUCAUCUUCAUCUCCAACGAUCUAUAACGCGUGUGCAAAUGCCGGCAAUUUCUUCUUGAUGUAUUAGGUGGAGAAAUCAGCUUAAUAACUGGAGAUCGUCAAGGUUCUCUACUUUCCAUUUGCAAGUAAUUGAGUUAUUCAUUAAAUGGCGUGAACAGCUUUUUUAUAUUUUUCAGCUCGUGUAGAAUCUAAUAUUACAACUUCGAUUAAUAUUUAAAUUGCUCCCAAAGUAACGUACACCAUACGAAUAAAAAAAUGCAGCAUGGCCAAGCUUUGAACGUUGAAGGCGUCGGUGUGUGUCACCGUCACGUCGACUUUUGGACAUCAACGUCGUAGUUUGAAUUUCAUGGCCGCUAAGUGAGUGGUAGAUCCAAGUUCCAACAAGGUGUUAUCAUAUAUAUAUAUAGAAUACAAAUUUAGAAUUGGCUAGUUAGUGGCCACCCGUUCUUGCACAGCAUUAUUGGUGUAGAGUUUAUAUUAAAUAAAUGUGUGGUGGGCAUGUCGGAUAAUAAGUUGACCUAUCCAAUGAACUCAUUUGGCUAGCUAAACAAAUCAACCAUUUGUAACGUAUCUCAUUAAAUUUUUAAUUUGAUUAGUUUGAGCUUUGACCCGUCCGGCCUAUCCAUUUAACAGCUCUAACUCGUAACAUAUAGUUAAUUAAAAGCGUUUAAAUAUCAUUACUUAAAGCUUUGUCUAAAUCUGAACCUUUAAACUUGAAGAUCAAGUUUGCAAAUGGGCAAGUGGGCAAUGAUCAGAACUCGGAACACCAACUUGCAUCUGUUGGAAUGUCUACCAACAAGGCAAGCUAAUUAGCUACUUUAAUCAAAAGUAUUGAACAGGAAGGAUUGAAAACCAGCAAAGAAAGAACAUAGUUCGCCGCAGGAAAUUAAGCACCCUCAAACCGAGGUCAGUGCUGUACAAACUUGAAAAAAACGCGACAAGUUUUCGUGUCGAGAGCUUCCCGACAAUUUUCAUCAGUUACUUUUGGACAAAUAUGGCUUAAUUAAAUUAUUAGUCCUCUUUCUUCUAUAACAAGUUCUAGAUGAAUGUGUAAAUAAAUUUAAAAUAUAAAAUGAUUAAAAGAGGAAUAAAAAAAAUAAAAUAAAUAAUAUGAAGGAUUAACGUGAUUUUUCAUUUUGAGAUUGAUUAAUUUACAAAAAAAGAUAGAGUUUUAUUAUAAAGAUGAUAAUCGAGAUGGUUGUGUUAUAGAGACAUAAAUAAAAUAUAUAUAUAUUUUAAGUUAAGCUAUAUAUACUAAACUACAAACACAAUAAAAUUCAUUCGAAAAUCUUGAAACAGUUAAAAAGAAACUAGAACGUUCUUCAUGUGGUAGAAUCAAUGGUCGGAUGAAAUGAGCUUGUGUGUCUAUCAAACUUAUGAGUUUUCUGAUAAUUAAUCAAUAUAGAAGGUGAUGACGCGCAGGUUAUGUAAUAUUGUAACAUUUUUCAAUAAGAUAUUGUUCGUUUUUAGAUUAAACUCUCAUGAAUUUAUUUUUGGGAGCAUCAACUCAAUUAAGGAUAGAUUAUUCCUUAUAAUUUAUGUAUUUUUACUGUGCUUUGUUGAUGGAAGAUUUGUCUAAGAUAUUAGAUAUUAUGUUUAUGAGAUAAUUGGAGACAAAUAUUUAUGAAGUCAAUAAAUGGAGACAGUUAAACAUGUGGUGCUGAGAAUUUACAAAUGUUAUGUUUAACAAUAGGAAUUAUGAUUCUUAAGGAAGAUAAGUUGAGAUUAAUGUAAACAUGUUGAGCGGAAAUAAAAAAAUUUCAUGGAUGAAAAUUUAAAUAAAAAAAUAUAAUUUUAAUUGAAAUCAUGUUUUCCUAUCUAUUUAAUGAAAAAAUAAAUUUUCUUAAGAAUCUAAUAUAUAUUUUUUAUAAUUUUUUCCAACCUCAACUCAAUUAUUUUAUAUUCUUAAAAAUUAUGAUUUUUAUUGUUAAAUAUAAUAAAAGUUAAUUAAAAAAAUUGUGUGUUCUAGCGAUGAGUUUUAAUUUAAGCCGUUUAGCCAAUCUACGUGGAAAAUUGGAAUUAAAAAAAUUGAGAUUUAGCUCCAUCCAAGUGUCACUUUCUUCUAGAUCUCCAACACCUACGUGUCACGGCGUUUAUCUCUGUACCGUCCGUUUUCAUACCAUCCGCCGUCAUCAUUUCCAUUUCCGCCGUGAAAGCCGUUUCCCCGUCAAAAAUUAUAUUUUCCUCCACUGUAGUUACACUUAUACCCUUGCAGUCAAAUGACACGUCAUCAUCGAGUAACCAUCGUCCAACUAACCACCCCUUCCUAUAAAUUCAUCUUCUCCCCCAAACAAUCAAAUAAAUUUCAUCUCUCAAGAAACCCAAUUCAUCAAGCAAAUUGAUCGAAGAAAAAUGAGUCAAGCAAUCAUCUUUGCCGGAACCCAACUCGCGGCCGGCCGUUCCCACUCGGCCCUUUCACCGACCUUCACUCCCACCCCUGAAAAUCUCACCUUCACUCGCCGUCGACGACCCAUCACUCUGAUCAGGGCAUCCGCCGCCGCGGCGGCCACCGCCGCAGAAAGCAACAGCCUUUACGCACCCAUCGGCAGCUUCUACGACCUGCUGGGGAUUCCGGAGAACGUGACGGCGCCGGAGAUCAAGCAAGCUUACAGGAAGCUGGCAAGGAAGUACCACCCGGACGAAUCGCCGCCGGAGAAAGCAGAGGAGUUUACGAAGCAGUUUCUGAGAGUCCAGGAGGCUUACGAGACGCUGUCGGAUCCGCGGAGCAGGGCGGAGUACGACAGAGAUUUGGCUUCUGGGUGGUUUUCUGGUCGGAAGCAGUUCGAUAAGGGGAUGGAUCCGCAGGGGGAGUGGAGGCAGAGGUGGGAGAGUCAGGUGGAGGAGUUGCAGAGCAUGCGGCGGGGGAGGCAGAGCAGUUGGGGAGAUCGAAUGAGGAGCCGUAGAUCAUCAUGCGAUUUCAGUUUUGAUUGAUUGGAUGAUAAUCGAUUAUGAGUAUAUAUAAUAGAAAUUAGGAACUUAGAGAUGUAAAUUUUGGUCAGAGGUGGGAGAGUCAGGUGGAGGAGUUGCAGAGCAUGCGGCGGGGGAGGCAGAGCAGUUGGGGAGAUCGAAUGAGGAAGAGCCGGCGAUCAUCGUGCGAUUUCAGUUUCAGUUAAUUGGGGGAUUAUGAUCGAUCGAUGAGUAUAUAUAUUAGGGAAUUAGGAACUUAAUUUCUGGUUGUACAAUUAGAGAUGUAAAUUUUGGUUGACAAUAAUAAGAAGAACAAACUUUCAGAGCUAGUAGUUUGCUCUGUUCUCCGAAACAGAGCCGGUCCCAUUGCUCAUUCGCUAAUUCCACAUGGUUCACCAAUUGAACCGGUUAAAAUAAAGCGAUCUAAAACUUUAAAAUAUCACGACCUAUAGCUAUAUAUCAAGAAAUGUCACCAUCUGUUUUUUCGUUAAGACUUUUUUGUUUUCGAGCUGACGUGGACAAGGUGCCGUUACGGACACAUAAUUUUCAUGUUUAUUAUUGAACUGUUCAAACACGUUCGAAACCACGAAAUGGUCUAAAGAUGAACUACUUCUAAUUAAUGGCCCCCGCAAGAGAUUAUGAGCCGAGUCACCGAGGGAUUAAGAGAAGAGAUAAGACUUGUUACUAUCAUUUUGCGCGUUGACAUUAAUGUUUGGUACGUAGGAUAAUGAUCAGUUGACUUUAAUAUCAAGUCGAUUAGAGCAUGGAAAUGUCCGUAAUACGUUGACAAAAGUUUCAUCAUGCAUGACCUAAUAUUCUUAUCAUAUUCCAUCCAAAAAAAGCGAACCACAUAUCAAUGAUAUUUUGAUUUGAUUUGGUAGGCGGAAAGGUUGAUAAAAUUUAAGCAACGAGAAAAUUCGCUCUACACCAUAUAACUUCUUCAUAAUCUAACUUUUUCGUCGAAUGAACCGAUGAAUAACGUGCACGGUAUCACAACUUACCAACUUACAUCUCAUAGUCAUGAAAUCCUAUGUGAUUAUCAUGCUGUGUCAAGGCCACAGGGAGCAAUGAAUAAAUUAACAUAUGUUGGUUGAUUAAUUAGGUAAGAGUAAUUGACAACAUUUUUGUGUGGAUAAAGAUAAUAAUUGAUGGGUUAGGUGGAUGCUGCAACCUCCGACGUAUUGGAUUAAGGAGUCAAAUCGAAAUUGUAAAUGAUAAUUAAACAAGUAGGAUCACAAAAUUGUGUGCUCCGGUGGGUUGGAUCAUAGGAUAAAUAGUAUUAGUAAAAUUAAACAAGAAAUUGUCUUAUAAACCAGUGGGUUGGAUCGUAGGAUAAAUAGUAUUAGUAAAAUUAAACAAGAAAUUGUCUUAUAAACUAGUGGGUUGGAUUGUAGGAUAAAUAAUAUUAGUAAAAUUAAACAAAAAAUUGUCUUAUAAACCAAUGAGUUGGAUCGUAAGAUAAAUAGUAUUAAUAAAAUUAAACAAGAAAUUAUCUAAUUUUACAGGUCUCGAACUAUACAACACAACCAACUAUAUUAUUCAAUCAGAGGAACGACAAACAAUUAAAACUCAUUACGAGUUGAGAACGAAUAUGUUGGAUGAUGCAAGGGCCAACUCAUAUUUUUUAUUGGGCUGAUUCAAUUAAUUAUUGGAGACAUUAAUUGUGAAAAAUAACCCUAAACAAUUAUCUACAUGAAAAAUAAAAUGUCCUGAAUUUUCUCGAUUUUCAGUUAAAGUUGUUGGGGACUCUUCCACUCCUCCCACUAAUCUAAGUCAUUCCAACGUGAGAGAAGAAGGUACGAGGCUGGAAAUUUCAGACACAAUAAAUCGAGCAACUUGUAUCCUUCAUUCUCUACUCUGAGUUUCAAAGGGUUCCACUUAUGCAUUAACGAUAGAAUUCUGUGAUUACCUUUAAUUGUAAAGCAUAAGUAUAUAGAAGAGAAUUUUAUUUCAACGACAAUGGUCUUCAUAUCACGAUCAUAACGAUACUCGUUUUCGAUAUACAGUUUCUGCUCUUGAUAUGUUUUGCUUUUCUCUUUGGAUUUGGAUUUAAGUUCUUUGACUUACGUUCAUGUAUAAACAACUCAUUAUUUUAAGUAACCCUAACUUAUAACCAAAGCCACAUACAUAUGCAUCUUGAACUAUGAGCUUAAUUAAUUAAUUAACUACUUAACGUCGAUGAUCUACAACUAACCCACGUUCACGUCUGGCAUCUCAUCUGACAACCGACACUGAAGCUAGCGGCCGACACGGCGACAUGACUAGAGUUAACUUCAACCGAUAAACAACGUGAAGCCGUCUCCCUUUUGGUCUUGUAGUGCAACAAGUCCUCUCCACUUCAUGGGGCUUUUGGUCACUUCUGUCUGGAAAAAAUAUUGAUGGGAAAAAUUUAGGCAGCUUGUUUUGCGGCUUACACGUCAGCUUCCAGAAGAUGGGUCGUUGGGUUGGAUGAAAGUGGGUUGUUUAUGAAUCGAGUUUAGUCGAAUUUUAUAAUGUCCAUUAAAAUUUAAUUGAAUUAGUAUUGAGUUCGAGCCCGUCCAAACCUGAUUUGUUAAUUACUAUUGACGAGCAAAACUAAAUUAACUCAAAUUUUGCUCGUUAAUUAAAACCCAUGAUAAAAAUUCAUUUUCAGUUGAAUUUGAAUUUCGUACACUAAAAAAUAUCGACAAGUUAAGUUUAAAAACAAGCUAUUCUACUAUUUACAAAUUUUUACAUAUAUUUUAUUAUAUAUAAUAUUUAAAACAUUACAUAUUGACAAGUCAUAUUUACUAAGUUAAUAUUCGAAUUGGAUCUCAAGCUCACUUAUACUAACUCAAACUUGACUCAUUUAAAAUGAAACCGAAUUACGAAACGAAAUACCUAACUACUCGCAAAUGGCUUAGCAUAUGAAAGGAUGCAGGAGUUAGGCAGAUAUCCAACCAACUCAGCUGCCGACGUUAUGUUUCUUGCUUAGCUGGAUAUCAUCAUCAUCUUUAUCUUUAGACGGUGGAGAUCAUGACUUUUUUGUUCUCCACAUUGACUUUUUGGACCCAAUUAUUCAUAUUAUCCAUCUAGAAAUCGUUAAUUAUUGUUUUUUUAUUAUAAGUUAAGUAUAUUUGUAUUAGUUAGCUUACCAUUUUCACAAGCAAAUAUGAAAGAAAAAUAUUUUUACUUAAAUGUGUUCAUAUUAGGAUGGUCGAAAAUCACGUAUGAAAAUAUGGGUAUAUAUGAAGUUCUAGUUAGACGGAAUGGUCGAAAGUACAUCGAGCAUAUACAUCUCCAGGACUAUAGUUAUAGUCCGCUAGACCGAGUUGGUCCAUCCCUCAUUCCGUCAUUACGUACCGUGAAAUGUUACCAUUUAAGUACAUGAUUUGGCGUGUGGAAAAAGUAAAGGAAAGAAGAAGUCUUGGAGACGUCGUUGAAAUAUCCAGAAGAGAAGAGACCCUAAGAACAGGAAAUGGUGUUUCACAGUUGUGACUUUGUGAUUAAUUAUUAAUAAUUAGUUUUGUUUCAAAACCACUUUGGUUUUAAUUAUGGAUUAGGCUAAAACCCACAGUUAAGCACACAAAUCAAAAACGACUUUGGGGUUUGUAGCCUCCCGCAGCAAAUUAAAGGCCGUCAAUUAUGUUCUUUAUCCUUUUUGUCUUCUUUUCUAAGUUCCCUAAUUAAUUAAUUAAUUAUGUUAAUGAACUCAUUACUGAUCCCUGCAGGCAUACAUUUUCUGAUCUAAACCUUUUAAAAUUGCAUUGGUAAUUGCAUCAUUAGUUGUUAUCACAUGGUCGUCAGUUAGCCUCAUUCUCUUUAUCCAGAUCUAACGACUACUUUUACUGGGAAAUUUGUCUAUAGAAUAUAAUAUUAGGUACUAUUUAUUGCGUUAAUCAUUAUAUUAUAUGAUGAUCAAACUUAAUUUGUUCGUCAAAUUCGACACGAAUGAAGACACAGUUGACCAUAUAAGUUCGUGAGUUUAUUUUUAUUAAAAGUUCAAGUAUGUGGGUCACGAGCCAACUUGAGUUUUAAUUCGACUUGGUAACUCAAGAACAAGUUUAGAUCUUGAUAAUCGACUAAAUCGAUUAUUGGUACGUUUAAUGAUAUAAUUCAUAUGAUAUAUCUAAAUUUUGUAUGACUUUUAGUUUCAUCAUUCGCUGGCUCGACUACUAAAUCGAAAUUAGAUACAAGACUUUAAGAAACAUAUAUAUUAUGUUAAGUAAUUAUUAAUUUGUAUGAUGACUUGUUAGAUUUCAUAAUUGAACAACUAUGAUUAAGUGAACAAAUUAGCAAUCUUGAAAGUUUAUGAUAUUUCACAAUGGGUCCUUUUAGCUCGUCAAGGAAUGUUAGCGAGUUAAGCUCCAACUUAGUUUGUCAAGAAUACUUAACAAACCAAUCAUUAACCGGCUGAGCUAUCGAUUUGGAUCAACUACCGGAUGUAAAUCGACCAAAAACGAUUCCUAGGUUAUGGAAAUCAAAGCAUUUUAACCAAUCAGUUCGAACAACCAAUGACUUAGCCAGUUCGGUUAGGAUCUGAAACCAUUAGAAUCAGCUCUGCCAUAGAUUUUCAAAUCCAGCUCAAAAAAGUUUCCCAUUGAUUCUCAAUUCUCAUCCUAAUUUCCCAAGAUCUCUACUUUUGUACAUCUAAAUCUGAACCCAGAUGGAAUCCAACCUCUAAUUGAAACUGAAAUCGCACGAUCCACGACUCUUCGUCCUCAUUCGAUCACCCCAAGAACACUUGCUCUGUUUCCACUGCAACUCCUCAAUCUGACUCUCCCACCUCUGUUUCCACUCCCCAGUCGGAUCCAUCCCCUUGUUGAAUUGCUUCCCGGCCGAGAAUCCCAAGUGGAACCCGGACGCCAAAUCUCUGUCGUAAUCGGCCCUGCUCCGUGGAUCCGACAGCGUCUCGUAAGCCUCCUGUACUCUCAGAAACUGUUUUGUAAAUUCCUCUGUUUUCUCCGGCGGGGAAACGUCAGGGUGGUACUUCCGUGCUAGUUUCCUGUACGCCUGCUUGAUCUCCGGCGCCGUCACCGUUGCUGAGAUUCCGAGGAGCUCGUAGAAGCUUUGGGUGGUUACGUAAAGGCUGCUGCUGGUUUCGGUGGCGGUGGCUCUGAUUGGAGUGAUGGGUUGACGGCGAGAUCGCCGGAGUGGGGAAUAUUUGCUGGGUUGGGAAGUGGUGAAUGAGAGGGUGGUCGAAUUGGGAGUGAAGGAUGGUGCUGCGGCAGGGUGGGGACGGCCGGGGGGGGGGAGUGGGGUGGCGGCCGGCGGUGAGUUGGGGUCCGGCGGAGAUGAUUGCUUGACUCAUUUUUUUUAAAGAUUUGUUUGUGAUUUUUGUUAUUUUGGUUUUGAGAUUUGUUUGGUGUUGGGAGGGAAGAUGGAGAUGAAUUUAUAGAGGUAAUGGGAUGGCAGGUGGACGUGGAGUGACUCGUAAUUCAUUGAUAUUAAUGGGGGUAGUUAUGUAAAUGAAUAAUUAGUUCCCGUUUACAAUAAUAUUUCAUUUGUUUUUAUUUAAAACUGACGUGUAACCUAAUUUGUUUCUUGCUAUUAUAACGGUACUGUGCUAAGGUUAAAAUUAAUUUUUAUAUGUGAGUUUUCUACAAUUUAAUACUAAUUUUUUUAUGUUAGUUCUUUGUGGGAUAAGUAGAUAGCAAAUACAAGUAAUUUUAAUUAAUUUAUUAAUACUUUAUUUAAAUUUUUUAUAUAUUUAUUAUUUUGAUACCUCCAAUUAAUAAACCCAUAGCAAGUGCAUUGGCUCGUGAAUACAAAUAAACGGCAGCCGUUGGGACGUGUGAAAGGAUGGUGCAGGGUAAACUCCGUGACAACGGUGGGGAUGGAAAUCUAGAAGAAAGCGACACGUGGAUGGAUGGAGAAAACCUUCGGGUUUCUGUUUUGCAAUUUGGUACACAGAUUUGCGAUUUUUUUUAUUAAUUAAACUUAUUUGAAGACCUUUGANNNNNNNNNNNNNNNNNNNNNNNNNNNNNNNNNNNNNNNNNNNNNNNNNNNNNNNNNNNNNNNNNNNNNNNNNNNNNNNNNNNNNNNNNNNNNNNNNNNNNNNNNNNNNNNNNNNNNNNNNNNNNNNNNNNNNNNNNNNNNNNNNNNNNNNNNNNNNNNNNNNNNNNNNNNNNNNNNNNNNNNNNNNNUUCUGGUUUGCCAAACUUUCUUUUCUGGUAAAACAAAAAUAGAAUAAAGUGGCAAAAUUUAUCUACGCUUGCUAAUUAUUAUAUAAUAUUCGUUGUCGGCUCAUCGUUGGCACUGACGUUACGAUAUUUUUCAUACACGAUAUUUUUCAUACAAUACAAUAUUUUAGUUACCUUUCAUAAUAAGUAAUGGUGAUCUUGAAUCUACCCUACGUGUCCAUUUGGAUACCACCAAUGAGANNNNNNNNNNNNNNNNNNNNNNNNNNNNNNNNNNNNNNNNNNNNNNNNNNNNNNNNNNNNNNNNNNNNNNNNNNNNNNNNNNNNNNNNNNNNNNNNNNNNNNNNNNNNNNNNNNNNNNNNNNNNNNNNNNNNNNNNNNNNNNNNNNNNNNNNNNNNNNNNNNNNNNNNNNAAAAUUAAUUAAUUUUGAACUCAGAUAAAUUCUAUAAAAACCAUAUAUAUAAUAUUUUUAUUUAUUUAUUUUGUUCUCUAUCUCGGACAAAAACAAAAUUAUACAAGGUUUCAAGUGAAUAUUUAAUAACCUUAAGUAAUUGGGUCUCAAUUAACUAUAUUACCUAGCCUAAUGGUAUCAUCAAAUGAAUGAUGUCUAUCGAAGGGGUUCUUGUUAACAAAAUCAAACUAGACUUUCUAAUCUAAAGAUUUAAUGUUCUUGAGCAAGCGAAGAGAAGUUUUUUGUACUUCGAAAGACCGUAAAACUUGCUACUAACCAAUGGCUCCGAGGCAGUUGAGCGAUAAGGGGACCAAGGUCCCAUUCCUCGCCUCGUUUGCCCGCUAUUCUGCCUUCGAGAUAACUCUAUGGGGAGAGAAGAGACAAGGGAGGAUGGGAACGGAGAAGUCUGUAGAUGUGACCGAUGGUACCGUAGGCCUCCCGCGGCCACAAAUCCGACAAUUUUGCAACAUCUUGAAGGGUUUUAGUGUACAAAUUGUUCUUUGUAACCCUAAUAUUAUAUUUACAAAUGUGGGUCCAUAAUGACUGGACCUAAUCAACUCGCAACAGCAUGGGACAUGCACCAACUUGUACAAACGAACUUUGUCACUUUAGAUCAAUAAUAAUGGUGAACUCGUCGACGGUGGUGGCCAACUUGCCAAUUUAAAAUUUGGAUUCAUGUUCUGUCGACAUCAUCAUCCAUGUUUUGGUUUGGUAAACUCUAGGAGUGUGCAUAAAAUUCAAACUAUGUUGAUCGCUUACAGGUGGUGAUGCUGACAUCGACGUGACGUACGGACCCAAAUCUUGAACAUUCAAAGGGCCAAAUCUUGAUUUUAUUAUUGUAUAUUAUGACUCCUUUUACUACAUACAAAGUUUACGAACUUAAUUUUUAUUUUGUAAUCAUAGGUUGGAAAUUGAAAUAAAAUCUUCGUUCAAGAAUAUAUAUUUUUAAAUAUAAAAUUGGCGAUCUUAUACUCCUUGGUAUUUUUAUAAUCUAGAGCUGAUCGUGGUUGAGGUUUGAGAUGAUCGAAAUGAUUUUGUUACAUUUAUGUGGUUGGCUAGACUCUAUUGGCCUCACCUUUAUAACCCAGUCAUGGUUAUUGCAAUGCUUAGCCGGCUAGGGUUGCACUUAAUUAAGGAGUUAUGGUUUAUAACUAACCCAUGUUAAGGAAACUUAAUCACGGAAGUUUCUGAAGAUAGCGAUGGUGGGUCAUUAGAAGUUUCUUUUGACUUGUAUUGCGUUCCCACUCUUGAAACUUCCUUCUUCGUUUUCCUUUUAUAGUAUUUGAUUUCUUCCCUUUAUCGGGACACUUUUUCGAACGGUUACUCACAAAGCGAACGGGAAUCAAAGAGUAUCGGAGUAGUAAGAAUGUGUAUAAAAGCAUGGGGCAAGGCUCAGGGACGGAUCUAUAAUGUAAAUAUUUUCAAAAUAAUAUUGGAUCGAACUAGUAAAUACGUGAAACUUAUAAAAAAAAUAUAACUAAUGUAGGAAACUAGAAAUAGAUGAUUAGAACCGCGGCUUAAGACAGUCACCCUAUAUCCGUCUUUAAUAAGGCCGAUAGGAUAUGGGAGGCAAAAGAGUAUGUACCCAUAGGUUGCCAGGGGUGCAUCGAUGUAUGAUGUAAAGGCCUUGGUCGUAUAGCUGCAAGAGCUUACAAACCAAAACCAUUAUUAAAAUGGGUUGCUUUUCACAACACCUAAAAAUUUAAAUCGAAUCACCACGUAUUGUUGGCUGUUUGGAGAAUCUGACCUACUAUAGCUCAAGGGCUUCUGACAAGAUCCUAAAAUAGCGAGUCAGCCACCUCAGCCUUGGACCAUUAGGUCGCCCCAUUGGUUUAGGCUGAUGGACCAACCCGCCGAUUCGGGGUCCUUAUGAAAAUUAGGGGCCAUGAUCAACAAAGGUAAUGCAAAAUUCAAUUUUGAGAGACAUGAUUUGAUGUUAUCACUAGCUAGGUAGUAAGCACAAAUGGGGUGGUCUAUGUCUUUCACUUAGUGUUGGUAAAUUAAGCAGUUAGCCGCCCUAUCACUUUCAGUACUACGUGCACUGGAGUGAAAAUCUGAAUGAUCUUUUUAUUUUUAGUUUACUUAUUAGUCAUAAUGAAUUUUUUUUUUAAUUGAAUGGUCCACGUCAGGUUAAAAAUAUAAUUGAUUGUUGAUCGUGGUUCUUAAUAAUGGAGUUGUCUUUGUUGCUUUUGGAUUUUGUACAAUAGGCAGAGAUGUAUGAUUUUGGAAAUAAUAACUAAUUUCAAUAUAGAAGUGGAUUUUUUUUUUACAAAAUCAUACAUUUCUGUCGUCAAUAUGGUGCGGUGUAGUCUAAAACGUGUCACACUGUGCGGUGAAUUUUGUCAAAAUUUCCCAUUCAUACUCGUUAAGAUUUAUCAGAAUUUUAACACGUCUGGAGCGUUUGGGUGUUGAAACCCUAGCUAACCCUUUCCUAUAUACACCCUUUUUUCGGAUCACACCUCUUUAUUGCUUCACUCACUACCUUUAUUUUCUUAUAAAAUCGGUGAUUUUAAAUUAUAAAGUUUGAAUAAGCUGUGAUUAUAAUUAUAAGUGGAUUUUUUUUACGAAAGCAUAUAAUUUUGUCAUUAAUAUUGUAUGGUACAAUCUAAAACAAGCCACACUGUAUAAUAAAUUCUGUCAAGACUUCUCAUUCACACUUAUUAAGAUUUGUCAAGAUUUUAACACGUAUGAAGCGUAUGUACAUCUUAUAUUGCGUUGCACUUUCUCGGCUGUCCAAACCCUAACUGACCCUUCCCCAUAUAUACCCUACCCUUUUUGCGAUCACACCAAUUUAUUGUUGCAAUCCUCCUAUCCUUAUUUCUCUACGAGAUCAAUCAUUUUAAUUUUUGAAGUUUAAAUAGCUUAGCAUAAAAUUAAAAGUGUUUUUUUUUACAAACUCAUACAAUUCUAUCAUUAAUAUUGUGUAGCGCGGCUUAAAACGCGCUACACUGUACGGUAGACUCAGUCAAAUCUUCUCAUUCACACUCAUUAAGUUUUAUCAGGAUUUUGACACAUAUACGGCAUCUGUACAUCAUAUGUCGCGUGGUGCUUUCUUGGGUGUCCAAACCCUAGCUAACCCUUCCCCAUAUAAUCCCCGAUCCUUUUCGGGAUCACACCAAUUUAUUGUUUCACUCCUCCUAUCCUUAUUUCCCUACGAAAUUAGCCAUUUUAAAUCUCAAAGUUUAAAUAAGUGGAAUUUUUUUACAAAUUCAUACAAUUAUGUCAUUAAUAUUAUAUGACACGGUUUAAAACGCGUCAACCCGUAUGAUAAACUCUAUCAAAUUUUCUCAUUCAAACCGGCUUACAUUUUAUUCAAUUAUAUUGCUAGAUGGGACUUAGAUCUAACCUCUCAUUUAGUUAGGUCCAUCAAAAUUCAAAGGAUGAACAUGAUGAUUGAAGUGGACAUGAAAGUUGAAAUUUUCAAUGGCCAAGCUACAUUUUUAUUCCAUAAUUAAUCUUUAAUUUCUUUAUUUAAUUAACUCCCAUAAAUGUACACUACGAUAAGGUUGAAAUAAUUACAAUUAUAUAAUUAGUUAUCUUCCAUCAGUCAGCAUAACAGUUGAAAAUUGUUUACAUCUCCGUCAAAAUUCGAGAGAUAAGAUUUGCACUAAAUAAUUAAUCCACAUAGCUUGGAAGAAACGAAGAGGCAGUUCCGUAUUAAUUUUCAAUUCAUCUCUGCGAUUAGUACUGUAUAAUUUUUCAUGGGUCUAACCCCAAGGAGUCAGUUCGGUCGGGUCUCAAAAUCGGAUGGUAAAAAAGAGCCAUCAAGAUGGAUUUCCAGCCUUUUAGAACUCGUUUGGAUGAUCUAGACUCUUUGCUCAUGGAUAACCAAAAUGAGACAUGGUGUAACAUACCAAACCAUAUAGGGUUAGAGGGUCUGCGGUCGGGCUGGUAAAUAAUACCCUAUAUUCUCUAUAUCCUCAAAUUCUUUUCAGUUUCUUAGAUAUCUCGUUUCCCUCAAAAGGUUAAUUAGCCCUUGAAUUCGAAACCUAUUUAUCGAAAAUUUGAUCAAAACCACCACUCUUAAAAUCUUCUAGUUCGAACCACUUUAUUGCUGCAUUCCCACUUAUUGUUGGCAAGUUAACGAGCCGCCCUAUCACUAUCUGCACUGCAUGAACUUUGAGUGAAUUAUAAAUUUGUUUGAUGUUAACAUUUUAAUUAUUUAACUUCUACGUUAAUAAGAAUUGGUCCACGUCGUGUUGAAAUUAGCUUCCUUAAUUACGUAUUGACUAUCUUUUUGUUAAUAAUGCAUCUGUCGUUGUUGAUCAUGGAUAUUACAAUGUUGUUGCGAUUAAAUUGAUUAGAUGAGUUGAAUUUAUUAUAAAUAUAUGAUGUAAGAGCGGACGUUGUAGCAUACAAUUGCAAGUUAAUUUCAUAUAACUUUUGAAUGAAGAUUUUAUGAAAAGAUUAUGUUGUUAUAAAUUAUAUGUCAGUAAUAGAUUCUGAUACGUUUUAAAAGAUUAAGUACCACAUAUAUUGUUACAAAUUAAACCUAAUCGGUCGAUGAUCCUCAUGAAUAUCAAACCACACAUGUACUUUUGACUUCACCUAAUCUAAAUUAUGAAACAACUCAAAAUCGCAUUAAGUUGUCUAAUUAACUGGAUCAUUAAAUAUUCUGAUUUUCGCUCGAAAUGAAAAAACAUACAAAUAUGAAGGCACAAUAAACAUUACAUAACCAUUUGUUUAUAAAUAUGACUCCAUUCAAAUCCAAUACCUUUGAAUCGAAGCCAUACUAUCAACUAUGUAAACUAAUUCUUUAAAUUCCUCACUACUAAGUAUUUCUUUAUUGAGUUAAGCUAUCUGUAUGUACAACCAGAAAAUUAAACUCCAAAAUUCCUCUGUUUCUUCCUCAAUUUCAUCUAAAGAAGCAUAACCAUCAAGACUAAAACCAAAAUCAAAACUAAUUGAAACUGAACUCGGAUGAACUAUGACUCCUCCUCGUUCUAUCUCCCCACGACGACUGAUUACUCUGUUUCCGCCGCCGCAGGCUCUGCAACUCCUCCACCUGACUCUGCCACCUCUGUUUCCACUCCCCCUUCGGAUCCAUCCCUUUAUUGAAUUGCUUCCCGGCAGAGAAUCCCAAGUGGAACCCAGAAGCCAAAUCUCUAUCGUAAUCGGCCCUGCUACGUGGAUCCGACAGCGUUUCGUAAGCCUCCUGAACUCUCAGAAACUGUUUUGUAAACUCCUCUGUUUUCUCCGGCGGGGAAACGUCAGGGUGGUACUUCCGUGCUAGUUUCCUGUACGCUUGCUUGAUCUCCGGCGCCG
rnacentral:lncRNA from 1 species